GACAGAGGCCUCGAGCGUUAGGCGGAAUCACUGGGCUUAAAGCGUGUGUAGGCGGAUCGUUAAGUACCUUGUGAAAUCCCACGGCUCAACCGUGGAACGGCUGGGUAUACUGGCGGUCUUGGGCCAUUCAGGGGCGACUGGAACAAGCGGUGGAGCGGUGAAAUGCGUAGAUAUCAGGAGGAACACCGGUGGCGAAGGCGGGUCUCUGGGCCGUAACUGACGCUGAGGAGCGAAAGCAUGGGGAGCGAACAGG
rnacentral:rRNA from 1 species